rnacentral:rRNA from 1 species
CCUACGGGUGGCAGCAGUGAGGAAUAUUGGUCAAUGGGCGUAAGCCUGAACCAGCCAAGUCGCGUGAGGGAUGAAGGUUCUAUGGAUCGUAAACCUCUUUUAUAAGGGAAUAAAGUGUGGGACGUGUCCUAUUUUGUAUGUACCUUAAGAAUAAGGAUCGGCUAACUCCGUGCCAGCAGCCGCGGUAAUACGGAGGAUCCGAGCGUUAUCCGGAUUUAUUGGGUUUAAAGGGUGCGUAGGCGGCCUUUUAAGUCAGCGGUGAAAGUCUGUGGCUCAACCAUAGAAUUGCCGUGGAAACUGGGGGUCUUGAGUGUGUGAGAGGUAGGCGGAAUGCGUGGUGUAGCGGUGAAAUGCGUAGAUAUCACGCAGAACCCCGAUUGCGAAGGCAGCCUGCCGGGCCAUGACUGACGCUGAUGCACGAAAGCGUGGGGAUCAAACAGGAUUAGAUACCCUAGUAGUC